UCGGGAAUUUUGGGCAAUGGGCGAAAGCCUGACCCAGCAACGCCGCGUGAAGGAUGAAGUAUUUCGGUAUGUAAACUUCGAAAGAAUAGGAAGAAUAAAUGACGGUACUAUUUAUAAGGUCCGGCUAACUACGUGCCAGCAGCCGCGGUAAUACGUAGGGACCAAGCGUUGUUCGGAUUUACUGGGCGUAAAGGGCGCGUAGGCGGCAAUUCAAGUCAUCUGUGAAAUCUCCGGGCUUAACUCGGAACGGUCAGAUGAUACUGCUUUGCUAGAGUGCAGAAGGGGCAAUCGGAAUUCUUGGCGUAGCGGUGAAAUGCGUAGAUAUCAAGAGGAACACCUGAGGUGAAGACGGGUUGCUGGGCUGACACUGACGCUGAGGCGCGAAAGCCAGGGGAGCAAACGGGAUUAGAUACCCAGGUAGUCCCUGAGCGGGCUGGCAAGGCGCAU
rnacentral:rRNA from 1 species